UCUUCUGUGUCUGGUGACAGCCCCACAGUGUGUCCUGUCCCAGGUGCACCUGCAGGAGUCAGGCCCAGAACUGGUAAAGCCCUCACAGACCCUCUCCCUCACCUGCACUGUCUCUGGUUACUCCAUCACCAGUGGUUACUGCUGGGCUGGAUCCACCAGUACCCCCAGGGAAGGGACUAGAGUGGA